GAUGAACGCUAGCGGCAGGCCUAACACAUGCAAGUCGAGGGGUAGAAGGAGCUUGCUCCUUUGAGACCGGCGCACGGGUGCGUAACGCGUAUGCAAUCUACCUUGUACAGGGGAAUAGCCCAGAGAAAUUUGGAUUAAUGCCCCAUAGUAUAUAACCUUCGCAUGUUGGUUAUAUUAAAGUUCCAACGGUACAAGAUGAGCAUGCGUCCCAUUAGUUAGUUGGUAAGGUAACGGCUUACCAAGACGAUGAUGGGUAGGGGUCCUGAGAGGGAGAUCCCCCACACUGGUACUGAGACACGGACCAGACUCCUGCGGGAGGCAGCAGUGAGGAAUAUUGGUCAAUGGUCGCAAGACUGAACCAGCCAUGCCGCGUGCAGGAAGACGGUCCUAUGGAUUGUAAACUGCUUUUAGACAGGAAGAAACCCUCCCACGUGUGGGAGCUUGACGGUACUGUAGGAAUAAGGAUCGGCUAACUCCGUG
rnacentral:rRNA from 1 species